GCUUAGCUCAGCUGGUUCAGAGCGUCUGCCUUACAAGCAGAGGGUCGGGGUUCGAAUCCCUCAGCGCC
rnacentral:tRNA from 1 species